GGCCGGUUAGCUCAGUUAGUUGAGCAUGGCGCUAACAACGCCAAGGUCACGGGUUCGAUUUCUGUUCGGUCC
rnacentral:tRNA from 1 species